rnacentral:rRNA from 1 species
GGGCCUAAUACAUGCAGUCGAGACGGAGUUCACCGGUAGACUUGCUCCCUGAAAUCAGCGGCGGACGGGUGAGUAACACGUGGGUAACCUGCCUGAUAAGACUGGGAUAACUCCGGGAAACCGGGGCUAAUACCGGAUAGUUCUUUUCCUCGCAUGAGGAAAAGUGGAAAGGCGGCUUCGGCUGCCGCUUACAGAUGGACCCGCGGCGCAUUAGCUAGUUGGUGAGGUAACGGCUCACCAAGGCCACGAUGCGUAGCCGACCUGAGAGGGUGAUCGGCCACACUGGGACUGAGACACGGCCCAGACUCCUACGGGAGGCAGCAGUAGGGAAUCUUCCGCAAUGGACGAAAGUCUGACGGAGCAACGCCGCGUGAGUGAUGAAGGUUUUCGGAUCGUAAAGCUCUGUUGUUAGGGAAGAACAAGUGCCGUUCGAAUAGGGCGGCACCUUGACGGUACCUAACCAGAAAGCCACGGCUAACUACGUGCCAGCAGCCGCGGUAAUACGUAGGUGGCAAGCGUUGUCCGGAAUUAUUGGGCGUAAAGCGCGCGCAGGCGGUCUCUUAAGUCUGAUGUGAAAGCCCACGGCUCAACCGUGGAGGGUCAUUGGAAACUGGGGGACUUGAGUACAGAAGAGGAAAGU